AGCUCCAAGAGCGUAUAUUAAAGUUGUUGCAGUUAAAAAGCUCGUAGUUGGAUUUCUGGUACAAUGCGCCUGGCCCGCGGUUGUAAAACUUGUGAGUGCCGGAGCGCGUUGACCAUCCUUCUAGAAAACGUUUCUACCCUUUACUGGGCUGGACUCGCGAUCUAGAUCUUUUACUUUGAAAAAAUUAGAGUGUUCAACGCAGGCAAUUGCUAUGAAUACAUUAGCAUGGAAUAAUAAUCUAGGACUUCGGUUCUAUUUUGUUGGUUUCUAGAAUUGAAGUAAUGAUUGAUAGGGAUAGUUGGGGGUGCUAGUAUUGGCCGGCCAGAGGUGAAAUUCUUGGAUUCGGUCAAGACUAACUUAUGCGAAAGCAUUCACCAAGGAUGUCUUCUUUAAUCAAGAA
rnacentral:rRNA from 1 species